UACGAAGGGGGCUAGCGUUGUUCGGAUUUACUGGGCGUAAAGCGUGCGUAGGCGGUUCGUUAAGUCUGUCGUGAAAGCCCUGGGCUCAACCUGGGAAUUGCGAUGGAUACUGGCGAGCUAGAGUACGGUAGAGGAUGGUGGAAUUCCCGGUGUAGCGGUGAAAUGCGUAGAGAUCGGGAGGAACACCCGUGGCGAAGGCGGCCAUCUGGACCAGUACUGACGCUGAGGCACGAAAGCGUGGGGAGCAAACAGG
rnacentral:rRNA from 1 species